GGAAAAGCACGUAAGGGUGGAUGGUGGAUGCCUUGACACUUAAUGGCGAUGAAGGACGUGGCGUAACUGCGAUAAUCCUCGGGUAGGCGUGUAGCAGCCUGUGAUCCGGGGGUCUCCGAAUGGGGAAACCUAAUAUCGAAAACCGGUAUUGUCCCGACGUUUAGUCGGGAAGCGCACCCGCUGAAUUGAAACAUCUUAGUAAGCGGAGGAAAAGAAAAAAAAUCCGUCGUAUGACGGAAACAUUCCCCAAGUAGCGGCGAGCGAAAAGGGAGUAGCCUAAACUUGUUUUUAUUUUCGCAAGAAAAUAAAGAUGAGGGUUGUAAGGCAGGAAUAUCUUUUGCUUUUCGCAUUGUUCCGAGCUUUGCUAGGGAUUUAUCCCGAGCAAAUUGAGGGAUGAUGCGAUUGGCGAAAGGAUUGGUUAUAAAUUGCUUUGUUAGCGGAAGUUGCUGGAACGCAACACGAAAAAGGGCGAUCGUCCCGUACGCGAAAACGGAGCAACCAAUUUUUUUCUGUUCUUGAGUACCUCGAGGCAACAAUACCACGAGGGAAUCCGGGAGUACUAUCUCCUAAGGCUAAAUACAUUAAGUGAUCGAUAGCGAACAAGUACCGUGAGGGAAAGGUGAAAAGCAGCCCGGAGAGGGCGAUGAAAUAGAACCUGAAACCAUCUACUUACAAAGAACCGGAGGCUUAAGUUUUUUCGCAAGAAAAAGCGGGCUGACGGUGUGCCUAUUGAAGAAUGAGCCAACGAGUUUAUGUAUAUUGCAAAGUCUAAGGGCGUAAAAGCCCGGAGGCGCAGCGAAAGCGAGUCUUAAUAGGGCGUUACUUUCUUAACGUAUAACCGACAACAUUCGUGUUAUCGUUUAUAAGUUAUGUUUGUUAGCAGUAUGUAUAAGACCCGAAACCAGACGAGCUUGCCCUGGCCAGGGUGAAGUUUGCAGAAAUGCAGAUGGAGGCCCGAACCGGUAGAUCGUUCAACAUCUUCGGAUGAGCUGGGGUAAGGAGCGAAAAACUAAUCGAGUUUGGUAAUAGCUGGUUCUCUCCGAAAUAGUUUUAGGACUAGCGUCAGGUGAAGACUCUUGGGGGUAGAGCACUGGAUGAUCGUGAAAGGGGGAAACCUCGCGCGAUCAAUCAAACUCCGAAUACCGAGAGUUGUUUCCUGGCAGUCAGACUGCGGGGGCUAAGCUCCGUGGUCGCGAGGGGAAGAGCCCAGACCGCCGUCUAAGGUCCCCAAAUGUGUGCUCAGUGUGAAAGGUAGUCGGUGCCCAUAAACAGAUAGGAGGUUGGCUUAGAGGUAGCCAUCCUUUAAAGAGUGUGUAACAACUCACUAUUCGAGGACACCGGCGCCGAAAAUUUAUCGGGGCUUAAGCACACUACCGAAGACGCGGGUUCGGUCGCACUACAUUGCAUUUAGUGCAAUCUCAAUCUCAAAGUUCAAAAAUCAAAAAUCAAAGUUGAAGUUUAAAACUGAAAAGUUUUGCGUUUCAUUUUUGCAUUUUGCGAUUUGCAUUUUGAUUUCGAGGGAGUGCGGAGUGUAAUGUAGUGCGACCGAGCGGUAGGAGAGCAUUCCUUGCGCGCUGAAGCAGGAUCCGUGAGGGCCUGUGGAGUACAAGGAAGAGAAAAUGUUGGCAUGAGUAAUCGCAAUCCCGAUGAAAAUUCGGGACCCCGAAAAUCCAAGGUUUCCUCCGCAACGAAAAUCGACGGAGGGUGAGGCGGCCCUAAGGCAAUGGCGAAAGCCGAAGUCGAAGGAUUGCUGGUUAAUAUUCCAGCCCUUCCAUUUCUUUCGAUGGGGUGACGAGGUGGAGUAGGUUGGGCGUCUUAAUGGUUUGACGUCCUUGAUCGAAGGCGGUGUUCAGGGAAAUCCGGACACCUGUGUUUAAUCACGAGCCUCAGAGUAGAGGCGAGUCGAGGUUUUUACCUCGGCAAGUUGACCGAGCUCAUCUCCGAGAAAAACCUCUAAGGUUAGGGAAAUGGAAUCCGUACCGUAAACCGCCACAGGUGGAUGAGGCGAGGAGCCUCAGGGGAACGGGUGAGUCCUCGUUAAGGAACUCGGCAAAAAAGCUAGGCGUAACUUCGGGAUAAGCCUUUCCUAUUGUGCCUCACUUCGUUCAGCACACGCCGAUCAAUGCGGAUGUCAGCUGAUUGAUGCGGAUAGCGGAAAAAGUUAUCAGCAUAUAUCAGCACUAUCAGCAUGGAUCCGCGUCAGUACCGAAUGAAGUGAGGUACGAUAGGACGCAGCUAAAGUAUCUCUGGCGACUGUUUACCAAAAACACAGCUCCCUGCGAACUCGCAAGAGGAUGUAUAGGGGGUGACGCCUGACCGAUGCGAGAAGGUUAACGCUGGCGGUGGUUUGACUUCGGUUGACUCAACGAGGAGCCCGAUGAAAAUGCGAUACCCGUGAAGACGCGGGUUACCGGCAGCUAGACGAAAAGACCCCGGAAGCUUUACUGUAGCUUGAUAUUGACCGUAAUGGUCGAUUGCGUAGCGUAGUGGGGAGGCUUUGAAGUCCCGAUUUCGGUUGGGAUGGAGCCGCCAAUGAAACACCCAUCUUUCGUUUGUUACUGUCUCACCCGAACGGCAAAAACGUUUAGGGACAGUGUCUGGCGGGCAGUUUUUCUGGGGCAGAACCCUCCUAAAAGGUAAUGGAGGGGCCUAUCAUGGUCAGCUUGGUGCGGAUGGAAACCGCACCUGAAGUGCAAACGCAGAAGCUGGCUUAACUGUAAGACCUACAAGUCGCGCAGGUGCGAAAGCAGAGGUUAGCGACCCGACCACGCUUUAUAGAAAGGUGGGAGAUAACGGAUAAAAGUUACUCCGGGGAUAACAGGCUGGUGUUGCCCGAGCGUCCCUAGCGACGGCAACGCUCGGCACCUCGAUGUCGGCUCACCACAUCCCGGGGCUGGAGAAGGUCCCAAGGGUUUGGCUGUUCGCCAAUUAAAGUGGUACGCGAGCUGGGUUCAGACCGUAGAGAAGCUGAGAUACAAAUCGGCUUUUCCACAGUCUGAAUCCGCAUCGAACGUUAUCAAACCAAUACAAGGUCUUUUCGUGUAAGAAUAUAAUUUAUAGUCAAAGAAUCAAUCACAUCACGGCGGUUAUUUGCAGUAAUGCAAAUAUAUCAAGUUGACUUAUAUCGGAAAAAUCCCGAAACGGAUAAUUCCGAGGGAAAUCCAACCAGCGCAAGGCGCUGGAAAUCCCAAAUAACAAAAUACAAAUAACAAAUAAAUUUCAAUUUUCAAAUGUCAAAGCGAGUCCCGUUUUGGUCAUUUGAAUUUUAUUCGCCGUCUGGCGAAUUAGAUAUUGUUUGGAAUUUGAUAUUUGUAAUUUGGUACUUCCGCUGCAUGGCAGCGGUGGGAUGCCCCUAGAGACUGAACGUCAACCGUCCGUUUAUCAACGGAUGAAGCUACAGUCCAAUGCGUAUAGCAAUAUGCGGUAUCAUGCGUGAGACAGGUUGGUCUCUAUCUGCUGUCGGCGUGAAUGUUUGAGGGAAGUCGUCCCUAGUACGAGAGGACCGGGAUGAACGAACCUCUGGUCUAUCGGCUUUGCCACCAGGUGAAUUGCCGAGUAGCUACGUUCGGACGGGAUAAGCGCUGAAAGCAUCUAAGCGCGAAGCCUCUCCCAAGAUUAGACAUUGUUCCGGGCAACCGGAACGAAGCUUCCUGGAAGACUACCAGGUUGAUAGGCUCUAGGUGUACGCACGGUAACGUGUUUAGCCGAGGAGUACUAAAUAGCUUUAUGCUUCUUCAU
rfam:Parcubacteria (Jorgensenbacteria) bacterium GW2011_GWA2_45_13 TW92_C0022, whole genome shotgun sequence.